rnacentral:tRNA from 1 species
ACUAGAGUGGCAGAAUAUGUGUCAGAUUUAAGCUUUGGAGAUAGUGCUAGUU